rnacentral:rRNA from 1 species
GAUCCUGGCUCAGGAUGAACGCUGGCGGCGUGCCUAACACAUGCAAGUCGAACGGAGUUAUUUUGGAAAUCUCUUCGGAGAUGGAAUUCAUAACUUAGUGGCGGACGGGUGAGUAACGCGUGAGCAAUCUGCCCUUAGGUGGGGGAUAACAGCCGGAAACGGCUGCUAAUACCGCAUAAUGCAUUGGAAUCGCAUGGUUUUGAUGCCAAAGAUUUAUUGCCUUUGG